rfam:Schistosoma mansoni strain Puerto Rico chromosome 1, complete genome
CAACUCGUGGCGCAACGGUAGCGCGUCUGACUCCAGAUCAGGAGGCUGCGUGUUCGGAUCACGUCGGGCUCA